UACGAAGGGGGCUAGCGUUGCUCGGAAUGACUGGGCGUAAAGGGCGCGUAGGCGGCGCAGUUAGUCAGGCGUGAAAUUCCUGGGCUCAACCUGGGGACUGCGCUUGAUACGGCUGUGCUUGAGGAUGGAAGAGGCUCGCGGAAUUCCCAGUGUAGAGGUGAAAUUCGUAGAUAUUGGGAAGAACACCGGUGGCGAAGGCGGCGAGCUGGUCCAUUACUGACGCUGAGGCGCGACAGCGGUGGGGGAGCAAACAGG
rnacentral:rRNA from 1 species